rnacentral:rRNA from 1 species
UACCCGCGGCCCGAGUGGUGCUCAUUAUUAUUGAGCCUAAAACGUCCGUAGCCGGCUCGGUAAAUUCCUGGGUAAAUCGGGUCGCUCAACGAUCCGAAUUCCGGGGAGACUGCCGGGCUCGGGACCGGGAGAGGUCGGAGGUACUCCGGGGGUAGGGGUAAAAUCCUGUAAUCCUCGGAGGACCACCAGUGGCGAAGGCGUCUGACUAGAACGGAUCCGACGGUCAGGGACGAAGCCCAGGGGCGCAAACGGG